rnacentral:rRNA from 1 species
GACGAAGGGGGCUAGCGUUGUUCGGAAUUACUGGGCGUAAAGCGCGUGUAGGCGGUUGCCCAAGUCGGGUGUGAAAGCCCUUGGCUCAACUGAGGAAGUGCACCCGAAACUGAGUGGCUUGAGUACUAAAGAGGGUCGCGGAAUUCCCGGUGUAGAGGUGAAAUUCGUAGAUAUCGGGAGGAACACCGGUGGCGAAGGCGGCGACCUGGGUAGAUACUGACGCUGAGGCGCGAAAGCGUGGGGAGCAAACAGG